CUUCACACCUGUGAGGCCGAUGCUCAGCAUAUUUCAGAGGAAGCUGGCACCAGGGAUGAGGGAAUCUGCCCAAGCAUGAGUCACCUGGAAUAUUAAACCAGAACCAACACACAAAUGAUCUGUGCAAAGAGGCAGCACCAUUGAAGUGUGUUUGACAGACAGAACUACUGUUUUGAAUCAACCCUCUGAGAUGUCUAAAUCAGCCUGUCAGACUUUGCUCCCUCUAUCACGUUUCCCAAGAAGAGGAUCAGAGAUAAAGAGAAAUAUGGAAAUUUGGAGUAAAAGAAUACUUUCACCACCUUGGACAUUGUCUCCUGCCUUUCUGGACAUCCACACAGCCCUGUGAUAUGCCUUGGAGCUGAGUUUUACCUCUUUGUGUGAUAUUUCUUUCCUGGGAAAGGCUCACACCACCUUGGAGCUUUGCAAUUUCGGCUUGUAGGUCCUCACUUAUAAAUCCAUUCACUCCCAGAGUCUACAUUGAAAUGAUUUCUUUUGCUGUGUCUCCACUGCUGGCUGUAGCCCCUUGAAGGAGGGAGCUGGCUUUACCAUGCCUGGCCUUGCAUAAAGUGCAACCUGAUGCUUAAUACAUACUGACUAGGUAAGCACAACCACUUCCAGAGCUAAUUCCAGCCUUUUCUCCUGCUCCCUGAUAACUCUACCUUCAUACCAGGACAGCAUUCUCAGAAAUCAUUUUAACCACGAAGACUUUUGUUCAAAUGAAACAGAAUAAGUAUAAACUAGAAAAAGUGCAAAUAUAUAGACAACUGUUAUUUUUUCUAAGUAAUCACCCAAACCCUCACCUCAUCUAUUAACCAAAAACUCCAGUGUGUUUCAUAUGAAGCCUCCCUUCCGAAAGAAAAUAAUCACAAACAACAACAACAACAACAACAACAACAACAUAUCUUCUA